rnacentral:rRNA from 1 species
CCUACGGGUGGCAGCAGUGAGGAAUAUUGGUCAAUGGGCGAGAGCCUGAACCAGCCAAGUCGCGUGAGGGAGUACUGCCCUAUGGGUUGUAAACCUCUUUUGUCGGGGAGCAAAAGCCGGACGUGUCCGGCUGUGAGAGUACUCGAAGAAAAAGCAUCGGCUAACUCCGUGCCAGCAGCCGCGGUAAUACGGGGGAUGCGAGCGUUAUCCGGAUUUAUUGGGUUUAAAGGGUGCGCAGGCGGAUUGUUAAGUCAGCGGGAAAAUCGUGGGGCUCAACCCCGUAGAGCCGUUGAAACUGGGGAUCUAGAGUGUGCGAGAGGUAUGCGGAAUGCGUGGUGUAGCGGUGAAAUGCAUAGAUAUCACACAGAACCCCGAUUGCGAAGGCAGCAUACCGAUGCACAACUGACGCUCAGGCACGAAAGCGUGGGUAUCGAACAGGAUUAGAUACCCUUGUAGUC